GAUACAUUAUAUUCAGUUUUCUCUUGACUUUAUUCUUCGUCAGCGUCUUGUUGGUUAUUGUUUUAGGGGCUGAUCAGGACAGCUCGGUACAACAUGGAGGUAUCUUACUGAAAGCUUGGGGUGGCCACGAAGAAGACUACGAUGAUUUGACCGAAGAAGUAUUCGAGCCAGAUAUUCCAGAGAAUAUAUGGGCUUCCUACAACAACAGCUUUGGGCUGCUUUAUUUCUAAAUACGAAUGUAUAAUGAUUAUAAUAAACAGAUUUCUUGAAA